rnacentral:rRNA from 1 species
CGAAGGGUGCAAGCGUUACUCGGAAUUACUGGGCGUAAAGCGUGCGUAGGUGGUGCGUUAAGUCUGUCGUGAAAGCCCCGGGCUCAACCUGGGAAUGGCGAUGGAUACUGGCGCGCUAGAGUGCGGUAGAGGAGAGUGGAAUUCCCGGUGUAGCAGUGAAAUGCGUAGAGAUCAGGAGGAACAUCAGUUGCGAAGGCGGCUCUCUGGACCAGCACUGACACUGAGGCACGAAAGCGUGGGGAGCAAACAGGAUUAGAUACCCUGGUAGUCCACGCCCUAAACGAUGCGAACUGGACGUUGGGAGCAAUUAGGCUCUCAGUGUCGAAGCUAACGCGUUAAGUUCGCCGCCUGGGGAGUACGGUCGCAAGACUG